CCCUUAGAUGUUCUGGGCUGCACACGUGCUACACUGGCAGGUUCAGCGAGCUUCAUGCCCUGAUCUGAAAGGAAUGGGAAAUCUUUUCAAAACCUGCCGUGCUUGGGAUAGAUGUUUGCAAUUAUUCAUCUUCAACGAGGAUUGCCUUGUAAGCGCACGUCAUCAGCGUGCAUUGAAUACGUCCCUGCCCUUUGUACACACCGCCCGUCGCUCCUACCGAUUGAGUGGUCCGGUGAGGCUUUGGGAUCUGAGCGGAAAGAGCGUUUCGCUGUUUCUGCUCGGAAAACUCAGUCGAACCUUAUCAUUUAGAGGAAGGAGAAGUCGUAACA
rnacentral:rRNA from 1 species